AGGAAACUGUUUAGUCCAACCCAAGGUGGGUUAUUGGAACUGAUCUUUGCUGCUGAAUCAUUGGCUCAUGAGCAUGUCAAAGAAGAUGAAUAACAUCCUGGACAUGUUCUUGCUCCAAUGAUGCAGGAGCUGAGCUCGGUUUUUCACUGCCUUUUCUUGGACUGAAGGGUUCCCUUC